rnacentral:lncRNA from 1 species
GCAGCAGUGUGGUCUAGAAAACCCCCAGAACCUCAGGCACGCUGCCGAUAUUGCCUCUGCGCCUCCUAAAAUAUCUGUCUGCUUUUUGAUUUCUUGGCUGUCAAUAGAAAUGCAGCAUGGGCGUAAGUGGAGAGCAGCUAACCUGCACACCCAGCUUUGGUGAUCCCCACUUGUCACCUGAAACCACAUCUGAAGAGCUUCGUGGUGUGGCAGCAAGAGUCCCUGAGGAUGAGAGUUAUGGAAAUAACCUCUCCUGAGACCAUUUCCCAAGAACUCUGUGCCUUGGUCCACAAGAAAUGCAAUGCCAGAUCCACCCACAUCCGACAACGUCUACAUUUGGAGAAUAUUAUGAAAGCUGAAGCUGACACAGAUGCACACAUUCCAGGGAUUCAUGCGAAGUCCUGCCACUGCAAGUCCAACUGAGGCGAUGAACCUUUGUGGACCUUCCAGGAAGCUUGUGAAUUUUGUUGCCAACUUCAAACAGCUCUAAAAUAUAUAAGGAAAUGAGAUCCCAUGGUACUUCUACAAAUUCCCAUGUCAGACAUAAAUGACUACCUUUGUCUACUGUUCAACAAAAAAACAAACUUGUAUGAAUCUUUCCCAAAUGUAGAAGUGGUUAUACCAUUAUAGUACUAAAUCUGGCAAGAAGUACAUGAAGUGUACAUAUUGAGACCAGUUUAGGCGUUUGGGGAGGGUAGGGGGUGUUGCUGUUAUACUGCAUUUUUAAAUCUCUUUUAUCUGCUGUUACCUUCUUUUUAAUAUAUAUAUCUCUAAGAUAGUCACAUAAAAUCAAUAAUUACAUAGUACUCUAAUACCAGUUGUAACUCAGCAGAUAAGCAGAAUAGAAUGCCUUUUGUUGCUUGUGUUUAACUUAUAAAAAAAUCCAACAAUUCAUCCUGCCUUUAGGAAAAUAUUCAUGAAGCAAAACUGGCAAUAGAAAAAUAAUUAUUUGAAAAGCAUUAUAUGAGGUGAGUUGUUGCUUCCCUACUGGAUGCCAGUUUAAAUUGAGCUAAUUUGUUUUACCAGUAGCUUAAGAAAACCCCAGCACAGCAGCAUGACAAUUAUAUCCAGGUGCAAGGACUUAAUUCAACAAAUUCUAGGUGGAUCCUUCCAGUCGGCUCAGUGGGCCCCAUCCUCAGCUGUGGCUAAGAACAGAUGCCCUUGAAAAAAAACCUCUGUAAUCAUGAUCCAUUCAGUCCUUGAAUAGUGAAGUGGAAAUGUGUCCAGGGAAAAAAAAAAAAGAAUAUAAAUGAUAUUUCUAUGUCCAGAGUAUCAAUUGAAGCAUGAUUGAGAAACAAGAACAUUUGAAGUAAGGCAGAAAUCUGAGUAAACGCUUAGAUACUUUUUUACACUAUUGUUCCAUUAGACAUGUAAAAACAAUAGCUCAUCUGUAAAAUGUAAAAGUGUGGUUGACCAGUUCUCUAGGACUUAGAAGUGACACCUGAAAAAUCAAAAUCAUAAAUCUAACAUUCUUAAUUUGGGGAACAUUUUAAUAAAAAGAUCAAACUGCAGGGCUCA